rnacentral:lncRNA from 1 species
AUUCAACUGAGAGAAGGGAGUCACUCAAAGUCCACCCAACGGGAGACUGAGGAGCCACCAGGACAGUGGCUGGCUGUCCCCAAGGGGUCCCAGGCCCUCCACCAUUGGAGGCCCAGAGCAGACUCACUCAGUGGAGAGGCUGUCAUUCCCAGGGUGGCCUGGACAAGGCCAGAGACCCAUCCGGAUAGCAGACCUUUGUUCACCAGGAGAAAGACCCAUCAGCAACACCAGUUCUCAUCGGCACCUGGACCCCAAGCCCCUGCCGCCAGGCCACCCCUCCUGUUCACUACAGCGGUUCAGCAGCCGGGGUGUCGACAGCCGGAGGCAGGAGCCCGAGCACCCCGCUCUGGAGGAGCAGCAGCCGGGUCUGCCCCCGCCCCCUGCCCACUCUGCGUGAGCUCCUUCACCGGCAAGGGCCCAGAGUCCUCCCGAACCCAUUGUACAGACGGCCACCCUGAGCCAAAGGUGGCUUACAGGGUCAGACAACAGGGAGGGUCCGAGUUGAGAUUUAAAAGCAACUGUUUGAGCUGGAACUUCCGAAAUCUGUCCUUGGAGACACUGUCAGCCUGGGGAACCCAAGGCCACCUACGGCCCCCUGAAGAGGCUGGUUUAACCCAGCUCCUCCCUGAGGCUGAUGCCUGAGUUCUGGGGUGGGGCCUUGGGAUCUGCAUUUUUGCAGGGUUGGCGUCUCCACUCCCAGAGGUCUAGAGAAGGGGAAACCUGUGGCUGGGGCCACACAGCAGGACAGGCCUGAGCCCAGAUGCCCUCACUCGGGCUGGCUCCCUAGCCGCCUGCUCACCCCCGGCCGGGCUGGGAGGGUGCCCCCUGCUUCUGAGUCCAAGCCGAAGGGCGGUGGUCUGGCUCUGCAUGCACGCUCCGCAGCCCAGGAGAGGCCUGCCCCUUUCCGGCCUCUCCCCAGCUCCUUCUGACCACGGGGACUGCGGCCGAGCAUGGAGGAACCUUGCUGCUGAUAGUUCUGAGUCUAAAAAUACAUUUUGGAAAGAUUUAUAACCCAGAACCUGUCGGCCAGCAAGGCCCCCGCCUCACGUGGGCUGAAUUGGAGGUGGGGCUGGGGGGUACAAACUCGCUUCCAUUUGAUUGACUUGGCUGGCAGAGCAUAUUGUAGUAACAUCUAUUUUUCACUAAAUGUACAAUAAUUAAUGGUCGACUUCCCACCCAGGGCCUGUCACCUUCCUGCUCUGGCCACACAGUGAUUCUGUCAGCCCGCACAUUUAUUGAGCACCUACUGUGUGCCAGGCCCUGUUUAGUGUUAGUAAAGAAGACAGGGCAGGUCCCUGCCUCAGUGGAGAGAGGCGACAAAUGUCACUCUAGGAGCUGAAAGAGAGCAGGGCAUGGGGACAUGGUGGGGGCUCUCUACCCAACACAGGGAAGGCCAUUCAAGCCCCAUUUGAGGAAGUGAGAAUUGAGCAAGAACCUGAUGUUUCGUGCAAGGCUGAGUGGGAGAGCUUCACAGGCAGGGGGAGCAGCCAGUGCAAAGGCCCUGAGGUAGGAAUGAGCUUGGAGUAUGAGGCUGCCACCAGGUCACCUUGGGCUCAGAGGUUGUGAACUUAGGUUUCAUUCCAAGCAAGGGAGGAGCCAGUUGACAGCUCCGCCCUCCCCACCGGUCUUUGCCCAGGAGCUU